UACGUAGGGAGCGAGCGUUGUCCGGAAUCAUUGGGCGUAAAGCGCGUGUAGGCGGUUACAUAAGUCUGUUGUGAAAGUCGGAGGCUCAACCUUCGAAAGCCGAUGGAUACUGUGUGACUUGAGUACGGAAGAGGAGAGUGGAAUUCCUGGUGUAGCGGUGAAAUGCGCAGAUAUCAGGAAGAACACCCGUGGCGAAAGCGGCUCUCUGGAACGGUACUGACGCUGAGACGCGAAAGCGUGGGGAGCGAACAGG
rnacentral:rRNA from 1 species